rnacentral:lncRNA from 1 species
CGGCGGAGGCCCUCCCGGUAGCGUGCCCAGACCCGCCAUAUGUCAACACAUAUAAGGCGUCUACAACAAAAGCGGAAGUAAAGCAAGAGAUAGAACAAAUAAAGAAGUGAAAUAACUAGCAACUAAUGAUAUCAGAGCGAGUAAAGUUCUAUCAUCUACACCAAUAGUAAUAGAACAUAACUAAUACAUGAAAGUAACAUAAGUUAUACAGUAUCAGCCUCUAAUACAAAAGUAGUGGUCUCUAGUACACUGGUAAGACUCUCAACCUCUCCAAAAUAAAAUACAACGAGAGGUAGACCACCUAGCGAAUCGUCCUCGAAGGAAGCUAGCUCGAAGCAACUCCCUUCCCGCGGUCCCUGGCCUCACCCUGAGUGGAAGGCUCUGUAAAGCAUCGAGAAAAAAGAGGGCGUGAGAACUAUAAUUUAUAGUUCCCAGUGGGCAAUUAUUGACCUCAGCUCCUGCUCC